AAAUUAUGAUGAGAAUACCUCCUCAAAAGCUCUCUCAAUCGCUCUCAUGCCUCGAACAAGGGCUCUGCUUCAUAUUGUUGGAAGCAACAUAUCUCCAUCAUAAGCUU